GGAACUAGUUGUUGUGGUCC
rnacentral:siRNA from 1 species